UAGGGAAUAUUGGACAAUGGGCGAAAGCCUGAUCCAGCAAUGCCGCGUGAGUGAAGAAGGCCUUCGGGUUGUAAAGCUCUUUCACCCGUGACGAUGAUGACGGUAACGGGAGAAGAAGCCCCGGCUAACUCCGUGCCAGCAGCCGCGGUAAUACGGAGGGGGCAAGCGUUGUUCGGAAUUACUGGGCGUAAAGGGCGCGUAGGCGGCUUGGCAAGUUGGGCGUGAAAGCCCUGGGCUUAACCCAGGAAUUGCGCUUGAGACUGCUGGGCUUGAGUGCGGGAGAGGUGAGUGGAAUUCCCAGUGUAGAGGUGAAAUUCGUAGAUAUUGGGAAGAACACCAGUGGCGAAGGCGGCUCACUGGCCCGCAACUGACGCUGAGGCGCGAAAGCGUGGGGAGCAAACAGGAUUAGAUACCCCCGUAGUCC
rnacentral:rRNA from 1 species